UACUUCUUCCGCAGUCGGCCGGCGGCACGGCCCAGGCCUUCUCCCGGCGUGCGUCGGCUCUGCCGGCGGCAGAGGAAUUCUGGGUAACGACCGUGGCCAGCCGGGCGGCUGGCUCCGCCCAGCAGGUUCUACUCACGCCGGAGCAGUUGGCGGUGGCGGUUGUCGGGCCCGGAGCAGCGGGACAUGGAGCAGCCGUGGCCGCCGCCGGGCCCCUGGAGCUUCCCGAGGACUGACGGGCAGGCCGAGGAGGAGAGCGACUUGGACGUGUCUCCCUCUUCGUCCCACUACCCGCCGGUGCCUGGCGGCGGCGCCCAGAUGUAUAGCGAUGGGAUUGAGCUGGCUUGCCAAAGGCAGAAAGAAUUUGUGAAGAGCUCUGUGGCGUGCAAAUGGAAUCUUGCUGAAGCCCAGCAGAAACUUGGCAGCUUAGCACUGCAUAACUCUGAGUCCUUGGAUCAGGAACAUGCCACAGCACAGACCGCAGUGUCAGAACUGAGGCAGCGAGAAGAAGAAUGGCGACAGAAAGAGGAGGCUCUGGUCCAAAGAGAGAGGAACAUGGAUGCCGUUAGCAAAGAUGUUUUUAAUAAGAGUUUUAUUAAUCAAGAUAAAAGAAAAACAGAAGAUGAAGAUAAAUCGCAAUCAUUUAUGCAGAAAUAUGAGCAAAAAAUUCGACAUUUUGGUAUGUUGAGUCGGUGGGACGAUAGUCAGAGAUUUCUGUCUGACCACCCAUACCUUGUAUGCGAAGAAACUGCUAAAUAUCUUAUUUUAUGGUGUUUUCACCUGGAAGCUGAGCAGAAAGGUGCUUUAAUGGAACAAAUAGCACAUCAAGCUGUGGUAAUGCAGUUUAUCAUGGAAAUGGCCAAAAACUGUAAUGUGGAUCCAAGAGGCUGUUUUCGUUUGUUUUUCCAGAAAGCCAAAGCAGAGGAAGAAGGUUAUUUUGAAGCAUUCAAAAAUGAACUUGAAGCUUUCAAGUCAAGAGUAAGACUUUAUGCCCAAUCACAGAGCUUUCAAUCUACGACAGUUCAGAAUCAUGUUCCCCAUUCUAGUGUUGGAUGCGUAGGCUCCUUAGACUCCUUAUCACAGGCUCCAAGAUUUUAAGACCAGCUUUAGCCAGUUUAUUCUGUUGUCUGCAUGGGGACAUGGAAAGUGUCAUUCAGAAGACAAUAUGAGGAGAGUCCUGUAUUUAUCUCUAAGCCUCAUAUAAUGAAUCCAGAUUAUCUUGAGUGUUCUGUCAGCACAGCCCUCUGCAGUUUAACCUCAGAGGCACAGAAAGAAGACGAGGACAGAAUGAUGGACACUGUGUGAUUCAGUUAGGACUGCUGAGGCCAAGGACUAUUUUGUUACAAGAAGGAAGAGCUUGGCUAUUUUCUUGACACUUUUAUGGGUGCUGCACUUUAUUUUUGUUCAAUUUUUGAUGGGAGGGAAAAGAAUACUGAAAUGUUUUGCGACUUUUUUUAUGUGCUGCUAGGAUUUUUGUUGUUUUGUUUUGUUUCUGAAGGGAGGAGCGGUACCGUAUGUUGCAGGAAGUCAAACUGGACUCUUCCCCCACCCCUCAGUUACUAAAUUUGCCUUUAACUGUUGUUAAUUUUGGAAUCAAAGUAUGAAAAUCUGCACAAUGCAAUGUUUACAAGACUGGUUGACCGAGGAGGCAUCUGCUACGGAGUUGUAACGCGGAUACGAGAAUUAAAGAGAACAGUGUGCUUGUGUCCCACUGCAAAGUUCAGCUGUCACAUCUGGUGUUCAUCACAUUAAAAGCAAUAAAUCGGUAGUGGUAACCUACUUUACUAAUCAGUAAACUGGAUGACACAAAUUAUUGUUUUAAGGUAAUAUUUACAUUUGUAUUUUCGACACCACCAGUUAACUCCUUGACUAUAAAUUCGAUAUUAAAAACAUGACAUUUAUCCCUCAAAUAGUUUCAGAACUGUUGAGAAGUGAGUUGACUUUGUCCUAAUGACUGUUAACUAUUAAGGAGUGUAGCAUGUGUAGAGAGCGAUACAGUUUUCUGUUUUCCAACAAGAUGAACUGCAAGCUUUCUCUGACUUCUUUACUUGACAUAGUCUGGGACCUCUCAGGGAGUAAGUUUUGAAGAAUAGUAACGGCCUGUGAGAACAAACAGGAGUAAGGUCAUUGUUAAGUCACCGUUAUUGGUGUGUUUCCCUCUGGUGAAGCCUGGAGAAAUGGAGCUAAGCUGCCUUGAGCAGCCGACCAUGUCUGAGAAUUUGGUAACAGUCACCCUCGGUGUGGUGGGUGUCACUCCAGCUGUUACUCGCUUCUAGCUCAGUUCCGAUGCUUCUGAGCUUUACUUCUUCCUAUGUAAGUCACUGCAGAUCCACCAGGAUGUUUGAUGAUUCUUUUUAUUUAGAAUUAGAUGACAGUGCCAAUUAUGAUAUCCUUAUUAUUUGAGGAUUAAUCUUCCGACUUACAGGAGCAUUAUAGUUGAGUGUAAUCUUUGGCUCAGUACCCACUUCAAUUUGUAGCAAAUAUUUGGAAAGUGGGUGUUUGGGGUUGGGAAUGCAGGUCUCAGUUUGAGUAAGGAAAUCAUGCUGAGCUGCUGCAGGGGUCACAGCUGUGACCUCAGCUCCAUCUGCCUUUUCAGCCAGUGAGGCUGACUUAGGUGAUGGGGCGCCCAGUACUUGUGGAAAUGGACUGGAAUCGUUGAAUCAUAUUCCUGUAAUGUCAAUCUUCCUGGUUCCCAGAAUAAAAGUCUUUUUGUGCUUUUGAUAUAAAAAUAUAUACUCUAUAAUAAAAUGUUUGACUAAUUUAUAUGGUAGUGCUCACUGGGCUUGUAAUUUUUUUAAUCAGUGACCUAAUCAUGGAAGAUUUUUUUGUUUCUGUUGUAUUUUGAUGUUGUAUUCUCUUCUUUUUUCUUCUUGUCUGAGCAUGGUCUCAGCUACCCUCUUCACACCAAACGGACAGACAGACAGAACGAAUCCAAGUGCUACCGGGCUGACAGGUUUCCACGUCGACUUCACUUCUGCCCGCCCACACUUGUCUGCCUCUCUGUGUUCAGUCAAAUGGUUGUGACUUUCAUUUCUGCCUUCUAUAAUUUAAACUCUUAAUGCCCAAAACAGGUGACAAAACAGUAAUAACAAAGUGAGUAUAUAGUUAAAGUUUAUUCUGGAUUUGUUUUUUAAGACAAAAAUUGGUUAAGAAAAAAAAAACUUUUCACAUUUGACUAGAAUUUUUUUUUUCCCAAAGGAAAAAAGUGUGAUUGGUUUGUUUGGGGGAACCACCAAUGAGUGUCAUAAUUUUCACUUAAGGAUGGUAACUUAGUCAUUGGCAGGUCUUUAGUAUUACAGCAGUAUAUUGGGCUGGGUGUGGUAGCACAUGCCUUUAAUCCCAGCACUUGGGAGGCAGAGGGGAGUGGAUCUCUGAGUUAGAGGACAGUCUAGUCUACAUAGAGAGUCCCUGUCUCAAAAAAAAAAAAACCAAAACAAAAUGACAGUAUUUUUGAGUCCUUUUAUUUCCUUCACUUUGAAAAUGUCCUUAGUAUUGAGAGCUGGCUAUCUCUUACCAAAAUAAUUGGUACAAAUUUUUACAAAAAAUACAAAUUCCUCUCUUGUUUUCUUAAGUAGUAGUAAAGAAUAGUAAUAUUUAGCAAAUAGAUAAUUCAUAUUUAGGUUAGAAAAUUUUUCCCUAAUCUAUGGAAUCUAUGUUCAAACUGAGCAGCAGAAAAAUACUUGACAUCAAAAUAAUCAACAAAGACUAUUGUUUUACUUAGUAAAUUUUAUGUGUUAUUUAAUAAAAUAUUUUAAUGAAACAUCUGUGACUUAAGAUGUCACAGGGUGCAUGAAGCCCUCGAUUGUAUCCCCAGUGCCACAUAAACUUAGGAUAUAAUUUCUCUUCAGAAAUAUUAGGCUUUUUUCAGACUAGCAUUCAUAUUAUUUUAAAGUGAGUAAAGGCGGUUAAAAUGGCUCACUUGAGUAAAAGAUUUUGCUGCAAAGCCCGAGUACCUGAGUUGAGUAUCUGGGACUAAAUGGUGGCAGGAGAACCAACUCCUUAAGUUCAUCAGACCGUCAUACAUGGACAGAAGAACACAUACGCACACAAUUACUGUAAAUUUUAAGUUUAUUUUUAAAAUUUUUAAGUGAAUUAACAUGCUUCCCAAUGAGCACACAUAUCUCCAUUACUAAGUGGUUUUCAUGACAGUAUAGAAGUAUAGGCAAGGUGAUUCUCAAGUUAAUCCUGGGGUAUUUCAGAGAAAAACAAAAACCACCUUACUAUUCUCAGAACAAGUCAGAUUUCAGUUCUUAAAUUGAUGUGGAAAUGGUGGUGCUUGUCCGAGUUGGGUUUCCCAUUCCCAUUUCCCAGCAUACCAUUCAUUUAGCCAGAAGAGCCUUAGAUCCUGCAGCCUGCAGUACCCACAUGCGUGGGGAUGUUUGUACUAUUUCAUAGGUUGUCCAGGAAGCUGAUUCACCUGGUAUGGGUUUGCGACACUUGGAAUCCCUUGGGGAAAUAGGAAGCUGCUGGGCCAAUCUACACUUGGCAUGACAUGACACUAUUUGAUGCUGUACAUAGAAAAACUUACGGUUUUUAGAGACCUUUAAAAACUGGGGCUAGGGGGGCUGGAGAGAUGGCUCAGUGGUUAAGAGCACUGCCCGCUCUUCCAAAGGUCCUGAGUUCAAUUCCCAGCAACCACAUGGUGGCUCACAACCAUCUGUAGUGAGAUCUGGUGCCUUCUUCUGGACUGUAGGCAUACAUGCAGACAGAAUACUGAGAAUACUGUAUACAUAAUAAAUAAAAAAAAAAAAAACUGGGGCUAGAGGGGUGAGUUUUUGGUUAAGAGCACUUGCUUUUGCAAAGGGCCAGUUUGACUUCCAACACCCAUGUCUGGCGCUCCACAAGCUCCUGUGACUCCAGUUCAGGAAGAUCUGACAUCCUCUUGUAGCCUCUGCAGGUACCCGCACACAUAUGCACAUACACACUAAAUGAAAUCUUUAAGAAAAUAUUGCAGGAGAAUGCCACAGAUUCAGAAACCUUACUGGCUUUUUACCAGUGCUUUUGAGCCCAGUUAGACUAUUCUGUUAAAAAAAGCCUGGGUUAAAACAGGUCUCGCUGAACAUAACGGACAAUGAGGACUACUGAGACCGCAAGAACAAUGGCAAUGGGUUUUUGAUCCUACUGUACCUAUUGGUUUCGUGGGAGCCUAGGCAGUUUCGUGGAUGCUCACCUUACUAGACCUGGAUGGAGGUGGGUGGUCCUUGGACUUCCCACAGGGCAGGGAACCCUGAUUGCUCUUUGGGCUGACGAGGGAGNNNNCCCUGAUUGCUCUUUAGGCUGACGAGGGAGGGGGACUUGAUUGGGGGAGCAGGAGGGAAAGGGGAGGCGGUGAUGGGGAAGAGACAGAAAUCUUUAAUAAAUAAAUAAAUUAAAAAAAAAGGAAAAGGAAAAAAAAAACGGACUCACUGAACAUAGUGGAUAAUGAGGACUGCUGAGAAG